CUUAUGCGGAUCCCAGGAACUAAGAACAGGAAUUAGGCAGACCUCCCAGAGCUCUGCAGCAAGAAUGUAUCCAGUACAGAAACAAGGCAAGGCAAGACUCAGAUAGUCACCAAACAUGAAAACAAGACAGAACUAGUAGAACCCAGAACCAGAGAAGGAUAGGAAGCUAAACCCAGAGCAUGUACACAAUACGUAAGGGGGCAUUAACUAAACAGGGGCAGGGCAGGACUGUACAUGGACUGGGAUUACAAAAUAAAACAAGACAAGAUAUAAUAGGCAAAACAAGAGGAGACAUAACUAAGCACUCUAUAUGAAAAGUAUGGGGAUUUAGUUACAUUAUAUGAUCAUACAUUGCAUAAGCCUGCCACAACGUCAA